rnacentral:rRNA from 1 species
UACGUAGGGGGCUAGCGUUGUCCGGAAUCAUUGGGCGUAAAGCGCGUGUAGGCGGCCCGGUAAGUCCGCUGUGAAAGUCGGGGGCUCAACCCUCGAAUGCCGGUGGAUACUGUCGGGCUAGAGUACGGAAGAGGCGAGUGGAAUUCCUGGUGGUAGCGGUGAAAUGCGUAGAGAUCGGGAAGGAACACCAGAGGCGAAAGCGGCGGACCUGGACAGGUACGUGACACUUAACUACAAAGCGUGGGGAGCAACAGGAUUAGAAACCCGA